rnacentral:lncRNA from 1 species
UUUUGGCAUUUUUGGGGAUUUAUUGGGAUUUUUUUAUUUUUUUGGGAUUUCUUGGGACUUCUGGGGAUUUUUCAGUUAAUUUUGGGAUUUAUUUGGAAUUUACUCAGACUUUCGUGGAUUUCUUUGAAUUUUUGGGAUUUUUGGGGGGAUUUCUUGGGACUUUUUAGUAUUUCUUGGGAUUUUUCGGUAAUUUUGGGAUUCUUGGGAAUCUCUUCCCGGAUUUUUUGGGGAUUUUUUCUCCCAGCCCGGCACCGAGAGGGUUACGGGAGGCGGGAGCGCCGCGAUCCCGGGAAAAGGAAAAUCCUUUUCCUCUUUUCCAUCCUCCAGCCCGAGUUUUUCCAUCACCGGGAAAAACCGGGAAGAGGAUGCGGGAACCGGGAAGCGCAUCCCUGUAUCCCGUCUUUUUUCCAGAUUUUUUUUGGCUUUUUUUCCCGUUUUUUUUUAGUUUUUUUUCCCGGUUUUGGGGGUUUUUUUAACGUUUUUUUCCCCCGUUUUUUCCCUGUUUUUCCCCUGUUUUUGCCCAUUUUUUCCCGUUUUUUUUUGGGAUUUUCCCCAUUUUUUUUCCCCGUUUUUUGGGGGAUUUUCCCCGGGUUUUUUCCCGGUUUUGGGGGAUUUUUUCCCGGUUUUUUUCCCGGUUUUUAUGGAUCCCGGCGGGAACGAAGCAUCUCGGGAAGGAGGAGCAGGGGAGGCAUCGCGACAUCUCUGGAGCAGAGCUGGGAAAGCUGGGAAGGAAAACGCCUGGAAAAGGAGCCGCGGAAAAUCCGGGAAAAAUCCCCCAAAAAUCCGGGAAUUAUCCAGGAAAAAAAUCCGGGAAUCGGCCGGGAAGGUGCCGGGAAGGAGCCGAGAGUAACCGGGAAGGAAUUUUGGGAAUCGGCCGGGGAAAAACCGGGAAAGGAUUUCGGGAAUCGGCCGGUAAAGAACCGGGAUUCGGCCGGGAAGGAGACGGGAAUAACCGGGAAGAAAAUCCGGGAAUCGGCCGGGAUUGGACCGGGAAUUCACCGGGAAGGAAUUCCGGGAAUCUGCCGGGAAGGAACCGGGAUUCGGCCGGGAAGAAAAUCCGGGAAUCUGCCGGGAAGGAAUAUCGGGAAUCAACCGGGAUUCGGUUGA